UACGUAGGGUGCGAGCGUUGUCCGGAAUUAUUGGGCGUAAAGAGCUCGUAGGCGGUCUGUCGCGUCUGCUGUGAAAUCCCGAGGCUCAACCUCGGGCUUGCAGUGGGUACGGGCAGGCUAGAGUGCGGUAGGGGAGAAUGGAACUCCUGGUGUAACGGUGGAAUGCGCAGGUAUCAGGAAGAACACCGAUGGCGAAGGCAGUUCUCUGGGCCGUAACUGACGCUGAGGAGCGAAAGCGUGGGGAGCGAACAGG
rnacentral:rRNA from 1 species